rnacentral:lncRNA from 1 species
UUGGAGUCUUUGAUGGAGUUCUCGAUAAUAGUAUGGUGGAACAAACCGUUUUCGUAAGAUGCGCUUCAUUUCAACCAAGUAGUAACAGGUUGCUCUCUAUAAAGAAUCCUGCUUUUACAUAAUUGAUUCCACCAUGUUAGUGCAUAAUUAAUGAACUCAGCGACAGCGUAUGUUACCUUUUUCUCAUCAGAGUAAUUGUAACAAGCAAAGACUGCUUCCAUCUUUUCCUCCCAAUCAAGGUAACCAUCAGGAUCAUUCUUCCCUAAGAAAGAAGGAAAUUUUGGUUUGGGGGUGUCAUUGUUUCGUUCCACCCUUUCUCUAGGUACAUACUCGGACUCAAAGUCAUCAUCAAAAACAUGGUCCUACCUUCGUUUAAAAGUUCGAUCGCGCGAAUUUGAUCGGCUUAUAAAGGCUUCGUUCAACUUCUUGUAAUUAUCGGCAAUGUAUCUCUCUUGAGUUGUAAGUUUUGUAUCAAGAUACUCCCUUUGCUCUUGUAUCAUCUGGGUCAUGCGAUGUUCGACUUGAGUUUGCAACUUUUUCAUCUCUUUUUGUAACAACUCGACCAAAGGAUCGUUAUCUCUUUUUUGCUCAUCC